CUACGGGCCGCAGCAGUCGAGAAUAGUCUACAAUGGACGAAAGUCUGAUAGUGCAACGCCGCGUGGGUGAUGAAGCAUUUCGGUGUGUAAAACCCUUUUCUUUGUGAGCAGUGCCGCUAUGAUUAAUAGUUAUAGCGGAGGGAUAUUAGCAGAGGAAUAAGCCACGGCUAACUCCGUGCCAGCAGCCGCGGUAACACGGGGGUGGCGAGCGUUGUCCGGAAUCACUAGGCGUAAAGGGCAAGUAGGCGGAGUAUCUAGUCAGAUGUUAAAGGCAUUGGCUCAACCAAUGGAGGGCAUUUGAUACUGGUAUUCUAGAAUUUGGUAUGGGAAGACGGAAUUCCUGGUGUAGCGGUGGAAUGCGCAGAUAUCAGGAAGAACACCGGAGGCGAAGGCGGUCUUCUGGGCCAAAAUUGACGCUGAAUUGCGAAGGUGUGGGUAUCAAACAGGAUUAGAUACCCCCGUAGUC
rnacentral:rRNA from 1 species